AACAUUGAUGAUAUUGACAAGUUCAGAUAUGUUGGACCAAUGGGUGCAAAGAGAUCCUUAAAUGCAAAAUUUUCAGAAAAGCAGAAUGAUGAUAAGGCAAAGAACAUUGAUGAUAUUGACAAGUUCAGAUACGCUGAUACCGUGGGUGCAAAUUCUCUGGAAAAACAAAGAGAUGUUAGAGCACGACAUGCAUUGCCCAAGUCAUCGUGCAGAAACAAUGCCAAUGUAGGAGGAGAACCAGCGCAUGAUGUUGUUCUGUGCUCAAGGAACUUUAAGGAGGUCACAAUAUUGGAUGUGUUAAACAUUCUCCCUGAGGACUAUAAUUAUGAUCCUAGUCUAGCAAAUGUGAGCGUCUUGGAGGCUGCAAAGAGGCGAGGGAUAAAUUUUCCUUAGGUCUUCUUAGCACUUAGCAGCCAGAUGAGGGAAACAAAGUAGGAGAUGAUGAUGAUUAUAAGAGGGAGUAGGUUUCAAGUGAAAACCGGUCUUCUAGGGGAUUUUGCAUGGUUGGUUAAUUUUUGAGGCAUGAGUUGUUUAG
rnacentral:misc_RNA from 1 species